rnacentral:rRNA from 1 species
AGAGUUUGAUCCUGGCUCAGGAUGAACGCUGGCGGCGUGCCUAAUACAUGCAAGUCGAACGCGAGCACUUGUGCUCGAGUGGCGAACGGGUGAGUAAUACAUAAGUAACCUGCCCUAGACAGGGGGAUAACUAUUGGAAACGAUAGCUAAGACCGCAUAGGUACGGACACUGCAUGGUGACCGUAUUAAAAGUGCCUCAAAGCACUGGUAGAGGAUGGACUUAUGGCGCAUUAGCUGGUUGGCGGGGUAACGGCCCACCAAGGCGACGAUGCGUAGCCGACCUGAGAGGGUGACCGGCCACACUGGGACUGAGACACGGCCCAGACUCCUACGGGAGGCAGCAGUAGGGAAUUUUCGGCAAUGGGGGAAACCCUGACCGAGCAACGCCGCGUGAAGGAAGAAGGUUUUCGGAUUGUAAACUUCUGUUAUAAAGGAAGAACGGCGGCUACAGGAAAUGGUAGCCGAGUGACGGUACUUUAUUAGAAAGCCACGGCUAACUACGUGCCAGCAGCCGCGGUAAUACGUAGGUGGCAAGCGUUAUCCGGAAUCAUUGGGCGUAAAGGGUGCGUAGGUGGCACGAUAAGUCUGAAGUAAAAGGCAACAGCUCAACUGUUGUAUGCUUUGGAAACUGUCGAGCUAGAGUGCAGAAGAGGGCGAUGGAAUUCCAUGUGUAGCGGUAAAAUGCGUAGAUAUAUGGAGGAACACCAGUGGCGAAGGCGGUCGCCUGGUCUGUAACUGACACUGAUGCACGAAAGCGUGGGGAGCAAAUAGGAUUAGAUACCCUAGUAGUCCACGCCGUAAACGAUGAGAACUAAGUGUUGGAGAGAUUCAGUGCUGCAGUUAACGCAAUAAGUUCUCCGCCUGGGGAGUAUGCACGCAAGUGUGAAACUCAAAGGAAUUGACGGGGGCCCGCACAAGCGGUGGAGUAUGUGGUUUAAUUCGAAGCAACGCGAAGAACCUUACCAGGCCUUGACAUGGAUAUAAAUGUUCUAGAGAUAGAAAGAUAGCUAUAUAUCACACAGGUGGUGCAUGGUUGUCGUCAGCUCGUGUCGUGAGAUGUUGGGUUAAGUCCC